UACCAGCUCCUCGAGUGGUCGGGGCGAUUAUUGGGCCUAAAGCAUCCGUAGCCGGUUCGGUAGGUCCCCUGCUAAAUCCAAUGGCUCAACUAUUGGCCUGCAGGGGAUACCGCCGGACUAGGAGGCGGGAGAGGAGGACGGUACUCCGCAGGUAGGGGUAAAAUCCUUUGAUCUGCGGAAGACCACCAGUGGCGAAGGCGGUCCUCCAGAACGCGCUCGACGGUGAGGGAUGAAAGCUGGGGGAGCGAACCGG
rnacentral:rRNA from 1 species